AUGAUACUUACCUUGGUAUUGCCUGACAAGUGGUGGGAAGGUGCCUUGCUUGCUCAGUUGAUACAAAAAGGAUACAUAUCAUUCAUUUUCUUCUUCUUAUCCAUUUGAAACGCUGUUAUCUUGUUCAGUUAAUACGUUGUUGUGUUAAGAGAGGAUCAUGAAACUUCAUCAUUGAUAUCUUGUUGUGCUUCCUCUAAGUCUUUCUUUGGGAGAUCUCUGAAGUUUGUUUGUUCCACACACUUUAAAAUCUAAGUUUGUGCUUUACUGUCAAAGAUCUCAAUCUGUUUGUUCUCACACUU
rnacentral:lncRNA from 1 species